rnacentral:rRNA from 1 species
GGGGGCCCGCAAGCGGUGGAGCAUGUGGUUUAAUUCGACGCAACGCGAAGAACCUUACCUGGGCUCGAACGGCUUCGGACAAACUGUGGAAACACGGUCUUCCCGCAAGGGACUGUAGUAUAGGUGCUGCAUGGCUAUCGUCAGCUCGUGUCGUGAGAUGUUGGGUUAAGUCCCGCAACGAGCGCAACCCUUGUCCUGUGUUGCCAUACCGAAAGGUGGAACUCGCAGGAGACCGCCAGGGAUAACCUGGAGGAAGGUGGGGAUGACGUCAAGUCCUCAUGGCCUUUAUGUCCAGGGCUACACACGUGCUACAAUGGACGGUACAAAGGGCUGCCAACCCGCGAGGGGGAGCCAAUCCCAAAAAACCGUUCUCAGUUCGGAUUGCAGGCUGCAACUCGCCUGCAUGAAGCUGGAAUCGCUAGUAAUGCUGGAUCAGAACGCCAGCGUGAAUACGUUCCCGGGCCUUGUACACACC